rnacentral:rRNA from 1 species
CGUGGGCAACCUACCUUAUAGUUUGGGAUAACUCCGGGAAACCGGGGCUAAUACCGAAUAAUCUAUUUUACUUCAUGGUGAAAUACUGAAAGACGGUUUCGGCUGUCGCUAUAAGAUGGGCCCGCGGCGCAUUAGCUAGUUGGUGAGGUAACGGCUCACCAAGGCGACGAUGCGUAGCCGACCUGAGAGGGUGAUCGGCCACACUGGGACUGAGACACGGCCCAGACUCCUACGGGAGGCAGCAGUAGGGAAUCUUCCACAAUGGGCGAAAGCCUGAUGGAGCAACGCCGCGUGAGUGAAGAAGGUUUUCGGAUCGUAAAACUCUGUUGUAAGGGAAGAACAAGUACAGUAGUAACUGGCUGUACCUUGACGGUACCUUAUUAGAAAGCCACGGCUAACUACGUGCCAGCAGCCGCGGUAAUACGUAGGUGGCAAGCGUUGUCCGGAAUUAUUGGGCGUAAAGCGCGCGCAGGCGGUCCUUUAAGUCUGAUGUGAAAGCCCACGGCUCAACCGUGGAGGGUCAUUGGAAACUGGGGGACUUGAGUGCAGAAGAGGAAAGUGGAAUUCCAAGUGUAGCGGUGAAAUGCGUAGAGAUUUGGAGGAACACCAGUGGCGAAGGCGACUUUCUGGUCUGUAACUGACGCUGAGGCGCGAAAGCGUGGGGAGCAAA